rnacentral:rRNA from 1 species
UACGAAGGGGGCUAGCGUUGCUCAGAAUUACUGGGCGUAAAGGGCGCGUAGGCGGACAGUUUAGUCAGAGGUGAAAGCCCAGGGCUCAACCUUGGAAUUGCCUUUGAUACUGGCUGUCUUGAGUUCGGGAGAGGUGAGUGGAAUGCCGAGUGUAGAGGUGAAAUUCGUAGAUAUUCGGCGGAACACCAGUGGCGAAGGCGACUCACUGGCCCGAUACUGACGCUGAGGCGCGAAAGCGUGGGGAGCAAACAGG